AUUGAACGCUGGCGGCAGGCCUAACACAUGCAAGUCGAACGAGCGGCUGACUUGUGAGUACUGUCUGGGAAACUGCCUGAUGGAGGGGUAUAACUACUGGAAACGGUAGCUAAUACCGCAUACCAUCAGAUGUGCCCAGAUGGGUUUAGCUAUUAGUUGGGGUAACGGCUCACUUAGGCGACGAUCCCUAGCUGGUCUGAGAGGUGGACCAGCAAAACUGGAACUGAGAAACGGUCAAGACCCCUACGGGAGGCAGAAGUGGGGAAGAUUGGAAAAGGGGCGCAAGCCGGAUGAAGCCAGGCCGCGUGGGUGAAGAAGGCCUUCGGGUGGUAAAGUGCUUUAAGUUGGGAGGCGUUACCAAAAGAAGAAGCAACGGCUAACUACGUGCCAGCAGCCGCGGUAAUUC
rnacentral:rRNA from 1 species